CAAUGUCUGUCCGCCUGCUUCUUUACCACCUGUUCACUCACUGAGCAGCUAGAGCUGAUCCUGGUUCAGGUAGAGCUGAUCCUGGUUCAGGUAGAGCUGAUCCUGGUUCAGGUAAAGAGCUGAUCCUGGUUCAGGUAAAGAGCUGAUCCUGGUUCAGGUAAAGAGCUGAUCCUGGUUCAGGUAAAGAGCUGAUCCUGGUUCAGGUAAAGAGCUGAUCCUGGUUCAGGUAAGGAGCUGAUCCUGGUUCAGGUAAGGAACUGAUCCUGGUUCAGGUAAAGAGCUGAUCCUGGUUCAGGUAGGAGCUAGAGCUGAUCCUGGUUCAGGUAGAGCUGAUCCUGGUUCAGGUAAAGAGCUGAUCCUGGUUCAGGUAAAGAGCUGAUCCUGGUUCAGGUAAAGAGCUGAUCCUGGUUCAGGUAGGAGCUAGAGCUGAUCCUGGUUCAGGUAGGAGCUAGAGCUGAUCCUGGUUCAGGUAAAGAGCUGAUCCUGGCUCAGGUAAAGAGCUGAUCCUGGCUCAGGUAAAGAGCUGAUCCUGGCUCAGGUAAAGAGCUGAUCCUGGUUCAGGUAAGGAGCUGAUCCUGGUUCAGGUGUGUUCAGGUAUGUGGAGUGAAGCUCCGCCUCCAGACAGUGUCUUUAAAAAGCUCUGGUUCGUCCAGUUUGAC